CAUAUUUCAUGAUAUUCGAAGACACAACAUUUUUCAUACUAUACAAGAUUUAGAUUUGACCAUUUUAAGCUAAUAUUCGCAUGCCGCUGAAUUAAAUGCAAAAGAAUUACAUAACAAUUGUAAGUAAAUAUUUGUUGAGCUUAUGCUAACUCUAUGCUAAAAUCACACAGUUUUCCAUUGGAAAGCGUCAUGGUUACAAAGAGAAUUAUCAGCCGAAUUCAAAGC